rnacentral:rRNA from 1 species
GACAGAGGGGGCAAGCGUUGUCCGGAAUCAUUGGGCGUAAAGCGCGUGUAGGCGGCCAGGUAAGUCCGUUCUGAAAGCCCGGGGCUCAACCCCGGGAGGCGGAUGGAUACUGCUUGGCUCGAGUCCGGAAGAGGAGAGUGGAAUUCCCGGUGUAGCGGUGAAAUGCGCAGAUAUCGGGAAGAACACCCGUGGCGAAGGCGGCUCUCUGGGACGGUACUGACGCUGAGACGCGAAAGCGUGGGGAGCGAACAGG